rnacentral:rRNA from 2 species
AGCUCCAAUAGCGUAUAUUAAAGUUGUUGCAGUUAAAAAGCUCGUAGUUGGAUUUCUGGUUUGAUGCCCUGGCCCGCUGCUAUUUUGGUAGUGUGUGCCGGUUGUGCGUCUGCCAUCCUUCUAGGGAACGUUCCUUCUCUUCACUGAGCCGGGUUCGUGAUCUAGAUCGUUUACUUUGAAAAAAUUAGAGUGUUUAAAGCAGGCUUUUGCUAUGAAUACAUUAGCAUGGAAUAAUAAUCUAGGACUUCGGUCAUAUUUUGUUGGUUUCUGUAACUGAAGUAAUGAUUGAUAGGGAUAGUUGGGGGUGCUAGUAUUGAGCGGCCAGAGGUGAAAUUCUUGGAUUCGCUCAAGACUAACUUAUGCGAAAGCAUUCACCAAGGAUGUCUUCUUUA